GCCCUCUUAGCUCAGUGGUAGAGCGUGUCACUCGUAUUCGCAAUUUGAAGGAUGAUGACAAGGUCAGUCGUUCAAGUCGGCUAGGGGGCA